AUGCAGUCGAGCGGUAAGGCCCUUCGGGGUACACGAGCGGCGAACGGGUGAGUAACACGUGAGCAACCUGCCCCUGACUCCGGGAUAAGCGGUGGAAACGCCGUCUAAUACCGGAUACGACCCUCCUCCGCAUGGUGGGGGGUGGAAAGUUUUUUCGGUCGGGGAUGGGCUCGCGGCCUAUCAGCUUGUUGGUGGGGUAACGGCCUACCAAGGCGAUUACGGGUAGCCGGCCUGAGAGGGCGACCGGCCACACUGGGACUGAGACACGGCCCAGACUCCUGCGGGAGGCAGCAGUGGGGAAUAUUGCGCAAUGGGCGAAAGCCUGACGCAGCGACGCCGCGUGGGGGAUGACGGCCUUCGGGUUGUAAACCUCUUUUACCACUCACGCAGGCCCCGCGUUCUCGCGGGGUUGACGGUAGGUGGGGAAUAAGGACCGGCUAACUACGUGCCAGCAGCCGCGGUAAUACGUAGGGUCCGAGCGUUGUCCGGAAUUAUUGGGCGUAAAGAGCUCGUAGGCGGCGUGUCGCGUCUGCUGUGAAAGACCGGGGCUUAACCCCGGUUCUGCAGUGGAUACGGGCAUGCUAGAGGUAGGUAGGGGAGACUGGAAUUCCUGGUGUAGCGGUGAAAUGCGCAGAUAUCAGGAGGAACACCGGUGGCGAAGGCGGGUCUCUGGGCCUUACCU
rnacentral:rRNA from 1 species